CAAUCACAAUGAUCACUAGUGAUUUAAAGUAGCCAUAGUGCUUGGAGUCUGUAUGUGCAAUAUUUCUCUUUGAAAUGCUGCACAUAUUGAAUUUAACUCCUCUGAUGGCAGGGGUGUAAGUCAACCUCCAUCAGCAUGGUGUCAUUAUUCAGCCAGGAACAAGAGUUUCUGGGUCAGCUUAUUUAAAUUCUGUGCACAUGCCUAUGCAUAGAAAUUAAUUAAUUGACAGCAGAC